rnacentral:rRNA from 1 species
AAUUUCAGAGGUAUGCGGGGAAAUGGUAGAGAUUGAUAGGAAAUUCGGUGGGAAGGGCGGCCCCCUUGGAAAAAGAUGACGUCAGAUGCGAAAAGGUUGGGGAGCAAAACAGGAUUAGAUACCCGGUAGUCCACGCCGUAAACGAUGUCUACUUGGAGGGUGGGUCUUGAACAAUGGCUUUUCGGAGCUAACGCGUUAAGUAGACCGCCUGGGGAGUACGGUCGCAAGAUUAAAACUCAAAUGAAUUGACGGGGGCCCGCACAAGCGGUGGAGCAUGUGGUUUAAUUCGAUGCAACGCGAAGAACCUUACCUACUCUGACAUCCACGGAAUCCUGCAGAGAUGCGGGAGUGCCUUCGGGAACCGUGAGACAGGUGCUGCAUGGCUGUCGUCAGCUCGUGUUGUGAAAUGUUGGGUUAAGUCCCGCAACGAGCGCAACCCUUAUCCUUGUUUGCCAGCACUUCGGGUGGGAACUCCAGGGAGACUGCCGGUGAUAAACCGGAGGAAGGUGGGGACGACGUCAAGUCAUCAUGGCCCUUACGAGUAGGGCUACACACGUGCUACAAUGGCAUAUACAGAGGGCAGCAAGACCGCGAGGUGGAGCGAAUCCCACAAAGUAUGUCGUAGUCCGGAUUGGAGUCUGCAACUCGACUCCAUGAAGUCGGAAUCGCUAGUAAUCGUGGAUCAGAAUGCCACGGUUAAUACGUUCCCGGGCCUUGUACACACUCGCCACACAACGGCAACCAGAUCAGAUUAUGUUCUGCAUCCUGAGCUACAGGAUAAGUCGUAACAAGGUAACCAUGCUAGAGUGAG